GUCGGGGCUCAGUGGUAGAGCGCUUGCCUAGCACAUGUGAGGCACUGGGUUCAAUUCCCAGCACCACA
rnacentral:tRNA from 1 species